UUGAUCCCUCAGAGUCCGCUUAUAAUGGUCUUCGGACAAAAUCAUCAUCAAAUUUGACCUCAAAUCAGGUAGGACU
rnacentral:rRNA from 1 species